UACGGGGGGGGCAAGCGUUGUUCGGAAUUACUGGGCGUAAAGGGCUCGUAGGUGGCCAACUAAGUCAGACGUGAAAUCCCUCGGCUUAACCGGGGAACUGCGUCUGAUACUGGAUGGCUUGAGUUUGGGAGAGGGAAGCGGAAUUUCCGGUGUAGCGGUGAAAUGCGUAGAUAUCGGAAGGAACAUCAGUGGCGAAAGCGGCUUCCUGGACCAGUACCGACGUUCAGGCACGAAAGCGUGGGGAGCAAACAGG
rnacentral:rRNA from 1 species